rnacentral:tRNA from 1 species
GAGGGUAAAGCUCAGUGGCAGAGUGUGUGCUUAGCAUGCACGAGGUCCUGGGUUCAAUCCCCAGUACCUCUG